rnacentral:rRNA from 2 species
CAGGUGCAUGCCUCUAGCA